GUCCUAGCUGUAAACGGUGCACAUUUGCUGUGAGAGGAAUCGACCCUUCUCGUGGCGUAGCUAACGCGAUAAAUGUGCCGCCUGGGAAGUACGGUCGCAAGAUUAAAACUCAAAGAAAUUGACGGGGGCCUGCACAAGCGGUGGAGUAUGUGGCUUAAUUCGAUGCAACGCGAAGAACCUUACCUGGCCUUGACAUGCAGGGAUUAUUUGGGUGAAAGCCCGGAAAUUGCCGCAAGGUGUAACCUGCACAGGUGCUGCAUGGCUGUCGU
rnacentral:rRNA from 1 species